rnacentral:tRNA from 2 species
GGAGGGGUGGCAGAGCGGUCAAAUGCAACGGACUGUAACUCCGUCGUCUCACGACUACGUAGGUUCGAAUCCUACCCCCUCCACCA